rnacentral:rRNA from 1 species
GCGGCGGAGCAUGUGGAUAAUUCGAUGCAACGCGAAGAACCUUACCUGGGUUUGACAUAUACCGGAAAGCUGCAGAGAUGUGGCCCCCCUUGUGGUCGGUAUACAGGUGGUGCAUGGCUGUCGUCAGCUCGUGUCGUGAGAUGUUGGGUUAAGUCCCGCAACGAGCGCAACCCUAUCUUAUGUUGCCAGCACGUUAUGGUGGGGACUCGUAAGAGACUGCCGGGGUCAACUCGGAGGAAGGUGGGGACGACGUCAAGUCAUCAUGCCCCUUAUGUCCAGGGCUUCACACAUGCUACAAUGGCCAGUACAGAGGGCUGCGAGACCGUGAGGUGGAGCGAAUCCCUUAAAGCUGGUCUCAGUUCGGAUCGGGGUCUGCAACUCGACCCCGUGAAGUCGGAGUCGCUAGUAAUCGCAGAUCAGCAACGCUGCGGUGAAUACGUUCCCGGGCCUU